ACAGCUCCGAGCAGUGGAUCACUCGGCUCGCGGAUCGAUGAAGAACGCAGCCAGCUGCGAGAUUUGGUGUGAAUUGCAGAACACUCAGAUCGCUGAUUUUUCGAACGCACAUUGCGGCUCCUUACCCAUUUUGGGGGAGCCUCGCCUGUCCGAGGGUCGCGUGAAGCUUGCAGAGGACUCUCGUGUCCAGAGAGUCCGAGUCGGCCCUUUCGGAUGCCACGUCCGUGGGCUCAGAGGAGGCCGGGUUCGGGUCCCCAGGGAUCUGCCGGAAGGCGGAAGGCCAGGGAUCCUGCCCAAAACUCGUAAUGGAAAAACUGUGCGACCUCGGAUCAGACGAGACCACCCGCCGAACUUAAGCAUAUCAGUAAGCGGAGGAAAAGAAAACAACAGUGAUUCCCCCAGUAGCGGCGAGCGAAAAGGGAAGAGCCCAGCGCCGAAUCCCAGCGUCGCGAGGCGCUUCCAGGGAAAUGUGGCGUAAGGAGUGCUCCUCGACCGAGGUGGGGUUCGAGGUAAGUCCCACUGACAGGGGCUCUUGCCGAGGCGGGUGCCAGACCCGUGUCUUCGAGCCCCGCUUCGGAAGGGAGCGCUCCGGAGAGUCGGGUUGCUCGAGAGUGCAGCCCCAAGAAGGGAGGUAGACUCCUCCCAAGGCUAAAUACGACCGCGAGUCCGAUAGCAAACAAGUACCGCGAGGGAAAGUUGAAAAGAACUUUGAAGAGAGAGUUCAAGAGACGUGAAACUGCUCGGAGGGAAACGGGUGGGCCCACGAAGUCCCUCGAAUCCGGGCGGAUUCAAUCGGUGCCGACCGACGCAUUUCCGCUCGGAGCAGGGGGAGGUCGCGACCGGUUUCGGAGACGAGUCGUUGUCGGAGGGUCGUCCCCGGGCACCGAGCCUGGGUCCCCUCCUUCGAGACGUCUAUCCGGGACCGCGGUCCAUGGUUGGAGGCGUCCCUUCGAUUUCGCGCGCCUGGUGGGCGCGGCUUCCGUUCCGUUCCGCAGCGCCUCGAGUUCUUCCAGGCGUUCGGGGCGGACGAGGCUGCGAACCGCGUUGGCGUUGCGCCUUCGAGGGCGUCCGCGACGAGUAGGUCGGUCUCCCACCCGACCCGUCUUGAAACACGGACCAAGGAGUCUUACUGUCGUGCGAGUCGAAGGGAUAAGAGAAACCCUUUUUCGGCGCAGCGAAAGCAAAGAUCGCGAUCCCCGUCUUUAUCACUGACGGGGCGCAGCGACCGCCCUUUCUGCAAGGAAGGAGCGAGAGCACGCCGGUAGGGACCCGAUAGGUGGUGAACUAUUCUCGGGCAGGACGAAGGCCGAGGAAACUCGGCUGGAGGUCCGAAGAGGUUCUGACGUGCAAAUCGAUCUCCCGACCCGAGUAUAGGGGCGAAAGACCAAUCGAACCACCUGGUAGCUGGUUCCCUCCGAAGUUUCCCUCAGGAUAGCUGUCGCUCGACUUCAGUGCAGUCUCGUUCCCGUAGAGAGAAUGAUUAGGGCGACUCGGGGACGCCUCUGUCACUCGACCUCUUCUCAAACUACGAAGGGACGUGGCGUUCAUCCUCUCUCGACGUGGAGGUGAAAUUAGGAUGCAGAGUGACAAGUGGGCCACUUUUGGUAAGCAGAACUGGCGCUGCGGGAUGAACCGAACGCCGGGUUAAGGCGCCCGAUGCGGGACGCUCACUGAUCCCAUGAAAGGUGUCGGUUGCUCGAGACAGCAGGACGGUGGCCACGGAAGUCGGCAUCCGCCAAGGAGUGUGUAACAACUCACCUGCCUAAGCAACCGGUCCUGAAAAUGGAUGGCGCUCCAGCGUCGCAGCCCAUACCCGGCCUUUAAGCCGAAUCAGUUAAAAGUGUAAGGCUUAAAGAGUAGGAGGGUCGCGGCGGAGAGCGCGGAAGGUCGCGACGCGAGUCGGACUGGAGCCUCCGCCGGUGCAGAUCUUGGUGGUAGUAGCAAAUAUUCCAGUGAGAACCUGGAAGACUGAAGCACGGAGAAGGGUUUCGUGUGAACAGCAGUUGAACACGAGUGAGUCGGUCCUGAGGCCAGAUGCUAAUGCAUCCCAGAUAUUUCUCAUUACAAAACGGUAGAGAAAGUGGGCCGAAAGGGAAAAGGGUUAAUAUUCCCUUACCGGGACACGGAGACUUUCGGCCCGAGGGUCGAUGGUGCGGUGACGCAAACGAACUCGGCGACGCCGUCGGAGGACCCGGAGAAGAGUUGCCUUUUCUUUGUAAGACGCGCGCGUCCCUCGAAUCUCGUCGCGAGGAGACAGGGACGCCGCCUGUCGAAAAAGCACGGUCGCUGCCGCCGUGUCCGGUGCGCCUCCGCCGGCCCUUGAAAAACCGAGGGAGAGCUUGUGAUUUUCGUGCCCGGCCGUACCCAUAUCCGCAGCAGGUCUCCAAGGUGAACAGCCUCUAGUCUCUAGAACAAUGUAGGUAAGGGAAGUCGGCAAGUUCGAUCCCUAACCUCGGGAAAAGGAUUGGCUCUUGUGUCACGGUCUUUCUGGACUCGCACUUUCCGAAGCUCCUAUCGUGGCGGGGACUGGUCCCAGUUUGGGGAUCGGACCCCGUACUCGAGGUGGGGUGUAGGGUGCGAGGUGCCCCGGACCUCCGUAAGGACUGGGGCAGUGCCGGAGGACAGGAAAGAGACGGACAAGAACUGGCACGGACUCGGGGAAUCCGACUGUCUAAUUAAAACAAAGCAUUGAGACGGCCGGCGAUCGGUGUUGACUCAAUGUGAUUUCUGCCCAGUGCUCUGAAUGUCAAAGUGAAGAAAUUCAACGAAGCGCGGGUAAACGGCGGGAGUAACUAUGACUCUCUUAAGGUAGCCAAACGCCUCGUCAUCUAAUUAGUGACGCGCAUGAAUGGAUUAACGAGAUUCCCACUGUCCCUAUCUACUAUCUAGCGAAACCGCAGCCAAGGGAACGGACUUGGCAAAUUCACUGGGGAAAGAAGACCCUUUCGAGCUUGACUCUAGUCUGACUUUGUUCUAAGGCAUUAUUGGCGUAGUCUAGGUGGGAGUCCUUCAAUGGGCGAAAUUGUGAAAUACCACUACUUUGAUCGCCUUGGGACUUAUUCGGUGAUGUUCCUAAUCGUCCCUCAUCGAGGGACGAACGUAUGUGCUUUAAGUCCUCGCCGUUCGAGUGUUGGACGAGGAACUCCGAAGACAGCGUCAGGCAGGCAGUUUGUCUGGGGCGGAACAUCUGUCAAAUGGCAACGCAGGUGUCCCAAGGCCGGCUCAGUCGGGACGGAAACCCGGCGUGGAGCAAAGGGGCAAAAGCCGGCUCGAUCCCGUUCUUCAGCAGGGAAGGGGACCUGGAAACAGGGGCCCAUCGAUCCUUUCUUUUGUGUGCCCUCCGGGGUACGAUGUGAGAGUCUCACGGGAGAGGUGUCGGAAAAGUUACCGGAGGGAUAACUGGCUCGUGGCGGCUGAGAGUUCAUAUCGACGUCGCUUAUUGAUUCUUCGAUGUCGGCUCUUCCUAUCAUUGCGAAGCAGAAUUCGCAAAGCGUUGGAUUGUUCACCCACUAACAGGGAACGUGAGCUGGGUUUAGACCGUCGUGAGACAGGUUAGUUUUACCCUGGUGAAGACGGGUCGUGGCUACGGGAAAACUUGCCCAGUACGAGAGGAACCGUAGGUUGGGACAUUUGGUACUGCGCUCGGUGGGGCCGCCGGUGGCGCGAAGCUACCAUCCCGUGGGAGAACGGCUGAACGCCUCUAAGUCGGAAACCCUCCCGG